rnacentral:rRNA from 1 species
CCUACGGGAGGCAGCAGUGGGGAAUAUUGGGCAAUGGCCGCAAGCCUGACCCAGCAACGCCGCGUGCAGGAAGAAGGCUUUAUGGUUUUAAACUUCUUUUAUCAGGGACUAAGCACUUUACGGUACCUGAUUAAUACGCCACGGCUAACUACGUGCAAGCAGCCGCUGUAUUACGGAGGUGGCAAGCGUUAUCCGGAUUUACUGGGUGUAAAGGGCUUGUAGGCUGGAGUGCAAGUCAGAUGUGAAAACUAUGGGCUCAACCCAUAGACUGCAUUUGAAACUGUAAUUCUUGAGUGCGGGGGAGGCAAUCGGAAUUCCGGGUGUAGCGGUGAAAUGCGUAGAUAUAAGGAGGAACACCAGUGGCGAAGGCGGAUUGCUGGACAGUAACUGACGCUGAGGCGCGAAAGCGUGGGGAGCAAACAGGAUUAGAUACCCGGGUAGUC